UGUGGGCGGGGAGUUUUCAUUAUUGAAAAAUAAAAGGCUGUUUGCUCACUGUCGUACUUGCAGUUCAAAGCAGCGAAGCGGCCUGGAUCCAGACUUCUCCGUCGUUCAUGCAAAAACCUAUAUAUAAGCAGUAUUCCAUCCUAAGCAAGUGUAUUAACCCAUUUUUAUCAGCCAGUGUGGUGAAACACUAAGAAAAAGAAAAAAAAAAAGUUUGGUUUAAUUCCUAACCAGUCGCAAUAUUAAACCUCCUCCUUCCCACUUUAUGGCGCCUAAAUCGGUUUGGCUACCUCGUAGAUGUAGUAGAAACUUGUAUUCUUUUAAAAAAAACAAAAAAGAGAGAAAGAAAUGGAAAUCAAUUGUGCCUGGAAAUACACUCCCCUCCCCCAUCUUGUUUCUUUUUUCGCUUGAGAACAGCAGAAAUGAAGCACCGGGCUCUAACUACCUUUGUUAAUUUGGCCAACAAAAGACUGAAGGGGACGGAGCUGAGAGACUGGCUCAGAAACCGAACCGAGUUUAUGCAAAGACGGACAAAAAUUGCUGGCAUUUGGCGGUGGGAGUCGAGCAGGAGCUCAGUGCAGCUGCUGGGCCUUACAGGCUGAGCGUGGAAGCUCUUUCUCAUAGCGUUUGUGUCUGAACCUUUAUGUACCUGCAUGCCAAUGUGAGAGUGUGAGGCACCAGAGGAAAGAGAGAGAGAGGAAAACGCCGAGUCCAGGCUGACCCCAUUACGACACCCAUGUUAAUUCACUCCAGCAACAUCUAGCCGCUCAUGUUUCUACGGCGAUGACACAAGACUUCAAUUAAAGGCAGGCCAGGCAGGGAAUAGACACCGGCCCCCCUACACCAAACGCCAUUGAUUUCCUCUCCAGCACUCACGUCUCAGGCCACAACCGUCCACCACGCUAUACCAUCUGAUCUGACCCCAUUCCAUGGAACAGACUCCUGUAUGCAGCCACACAUGCUAUAUUACCAGCUGAUCUAAUUCUGUAUGAAAAUCAUUAAAAUAACAUCAACAAUGAAA